rnacentral:lncRNA from 1 species
GUUUAUAUAAUACAUACAACUUGUUUGAACACACUACACACUACUUGACACAACACUACAAUUUGACAAAGGCUCGUGAACACAUACAUAUGAGACAAGACUCGUGAACACAUACACAAAGCUUGUCUGUGACUUACAACUUGACUCAAUACAUGAGACAAGACUCGUGAACACAUACACAUGAGACAAGACAAAUUAACACAUACACAUGAGAGAAUACAUGAGACAAGACUCGUGAACGCAUACACAAACCUUGUCCGUGAUUCUUCCACUGCUCUCACAUGACACACUGUCUUCCAACACAGUGUCUUCCAACUCACAUGACCUGAAAAUAUUGUCACAAUAAGACAAAAACAUUAAUCCAAGAACAUGUCAACAAGACAAGAAAAAGAACAUAACAGAAAGACUCGUACACACAUACACAAAGCUUUUUAAAAAAUAUAUAUCAAGUUGAGAAACAGAACAUAAGCAUUUAUAUUAUUCAUGUCGAGAUACAGAAACUUGCAAAACAAGAAACGACACUUAAAGACCAACAAACAAGUAACAAGAACAACUGCAGAAGCACAUGACUAGACCAGACCUUAAACAACACAAACUUAAGCUUAUACUAGAACUAAUUUGACAGAAGCUCAUCAAUGAGCUUCUUCUUGAAAGCUACUUUAUACUCGGCUAGAUAUUCUUUGCCGAUUAAUGAGUCAAGUAGCCUCAUCUUUGUCAGCCUCUCUUUGGCAGCCAAAUCCUCCUUCCUGAUCCUCCACAUACUCUCAAACUCAUUCAGCGCCUUACCAUCUGCCAUCGUCUUCUUACCAUGGCGCUUUGAUGCCUUAUCACCCGCGGGACGAAUGGUUGCUUGCUCAUCUUCACCAGUGGUGGUUUCAAACGCGUAAGAGCUUGAUGAUUAUGCACUCUCAUCACACUUCCUCUUUUUACCGCUUGUUGUGGUUUUAGGACUAGAGAAUUCACACCAUUUCUGGUCAUUCCUCAACUCCUUCCAUGCAUGCUCAAGAGUCAACUUCUUUUUGUGGUUGUUGUAGAAGAUCUCAUGCGCAUGUUUGAGAACAUCGUUCUCAUUUUGGCUGUUACUUUUCUCUCUAGUUGCUGCUUCAUACGCCCCACAAAAUUUGUUUACUUGGUCAUUUAUCUUCUGCCACCUUUGCUUACAAUGAGAUGACUCUCUCAUUUCAGAACCUGCAACCUUGGGACUUGCUGCAAAGUGCAACAAUCAUUUUCCAGAACGCACCAGCUCUUUGCUCGUUAGCUACCAUCGGGUCUUUGCUAGUGUUUAACCAAGCGCUAAUGAGGGUAACAUCAUCAAUUGCCGUCCAGGCCCUCCUUUCUUUACGCUCUGCAGGAGUCUCUUCGUCGGUUGGUUGACUGCUAAAGAGAGGGACUUGGGAGGAAGAAACUUCAACACUAUCUUGGACAUAACCAAAGACAUUGUCUUGCAAACUAUUCAGAAGGUCAACAAAAUUUCCUAACGGUGUAUAUGAAUUGGAAUCCAUAUCCGAAAGGUUCAGGAGAGAAAGAAAAGAGAGAAAAAAAAAAGAGAACGAAAAGAGGAAAGUUUUGAUAGAUGGAAGAGAAGAAUGAUAUUUUUUUAUAGAAGAGAAGAAGGAAACAAGCAUUGAUCACCAUUGAUCAACAUCCAACCAUUUCGAGAAGACAAUUUUCUAACAUAUUAAUCACACAUCAACUUUGAUUUCUAUCUAACCUCUUACAUCUCUUUAUUAUUGAAAACAAUGUUAAAUCUAUCUCUAACCACAAUAUUAAUUACCAACGGUUCAAUUGAAACCAAAAUCACGAUCAAUUCAGGUCAGACAGACAAACCAAAAGCACAUAAUAGACACUAUUCAAUUCGAACACAAACCACAAUCAAUUCAGUUCAGACACACAUACCAAAAGCACCAUCAAUUCGGUUCAAUUCAAACCAAAACGAUAAUCAAUCCAGUUCAGACACACAAACCAAAAGCACAAUCCAUUCCGUUCAAGUCAAAGCAAAAGCACAACCAUUCCAAUUCAGAUCAGACACACAAACGAAAUCAAUUUAGUUCAGCGACAAAGAUAUGCGUGUUACCUUUAUUGCCAUUGUAGUCGAACGUUGAUGUCUCUUCAUCCGAACCAUCUAGAUCUGAACCAUCUUAGACGAACCUUCAUGUGU